rnacentral:rRNA from 1 species
AUGGAUAUGCAUCCACCACCCAAAAUGCUUGCCUCUCUCACCAUCACCAUACUGAUUAUGGUCAUGGCCACCUCCGUCGCACUUGCGUCGUCGGAUGCAGUGGUGCUCGAGGGACAAGCAAGAGCACUCCUCGUCUGGAAAGAUAGCCCCGACAACCAAAGCCAGCAGGCCCUGCGCUCCUGGGGAAACACGUCGACGCCAUGCAACUGGCGCGGCAUCAGUUGCAAUACCGGUGUGCAGCAGCACCAGCAUUGGGCGGUGAUCAGCGGCAUCUCUUUGCGGGGUAUGCGGCUGAGAGGAGCUCUGGAGUCCCUCAACUUCUCGGCCUUGAGGACCUUGGCACGCCUCGACCUCUCAAACAACCUCCUCGCUGGGAGCAUUCCUCCUAGUAUCGAGGUCCUUGGCGAGCUCCAUGCUCUCCUUCUGCAAGGCAACCAGAUAAGAGGCUCAAUCCCACUAGGUCUAGGAAAUCUCACAAAAUUGCAUUCCUUAAUGCUUCACGAAAAUGAACUCUCCGGUGAAAUACCAAGCCAGAUAGGCAACAUGAGUAGUCUUGUCACCCUCAACUUGUCAAGCAAUCACUUGGUUGGUCAUAUCCCUUGUCAAAUAGGACACAUGAAGCACUUAGUUGCAUUAGAUUUGUCCAGUAAUGAUCUUUUCGGUAAAAUACCAAGCAGCAUAGGUGGUUUAACCGAACUCACUAGCUUGUACCUUUACAGUAACAAACUUUCUGGACAAAUUCCACGAGAACUAGGUUAUCUUCUAAACUUAAAGGACCUACAACUUGGCAUCAACGCACUCUCAGGUUCCGUCCCACGAAAUUUACAUAAUUUGACCAAGCUUACUGUGUUAAUACUACGGGGAAACAAACUUUCUGGAUUAAUUCCACAAAAAAUAGAUUACCUUUCAAAUUUACAGUACCUGAGUCUUAGAGAAAACAUACUCUCGGGUUCCAUCCCAAAUAGCAUAGGAAAUUUGACCAAACUCACAAAUUUGUACCUUAAGAGUAACCAACUUUCUAGCCAAAUUCCACGAGAACUAGGUUAUUUAGCCAACUUAGAGUGGUUGUCUCUUAGAAAUAAUUCACUAACAGGUCCCAUCCCAAAUAACCUUGGCAACCUUACAAAACUCACUACCUUGGACUUUGGGCAGAACCAACUUUCCGGGCCAAUUCCAUGA